CCUACGGGUGGCAGCAGUGGGGAAUAUUGCGCAAUGGGCGAAAGCCUGACGCAGCGACGCCGCGUGAGGGAUGAAGGUCUUCGGAUCGUAAACCUCUGUCAGCAGGGAAGAACGGUCACUGUGCUAAUCAGCAGUGAAUUGACGGUACCUGCAAAGGAAGCACCGGCUAACUCCGUGCCAGCAGCCGCGGUAAUACGGUGGGUGCGAGCGUUAAUCGGAAUUAGUGGGCGUAAAGCGCUCGUAGACGGUAUGUCAAGUCAAGGGUGAAAUCCCCGCGCUCAACGUGGGAACUGCGUUUGAAACUGGAAAACUGGAGUGUGUGAGAGGAUAGUGGAAUUCCAGGUGUAGGAGUGAAAUCCGUAGAUAUCUGGAGGAACAUCAGUGGCGAAGGCGACUAUCUGGAACAUAACUGACGCUGAGGAGCGAAAGCGUGGGUAGCAAACAGGAUUAGAUACCCUAGUAGUC
rnacentral:rRNA from 1 species